GGAGGGACCAGAUGUACAGCAAAGUAUCCUCUACCUUAGAAAGGAUAUUUCAACUCGCCCUGUACCAUCAAACCCCUAGAGGUUUCACUAAAGUAGAAAGUCCCUGAUUUUUGUUAAGUUUAUUUCCCACCCUCUAAUACACAUAUGUUUUAACCAAUAUGUCUAGAGUUAGUUGCAACUACUCACUCAUUAGGUCCAAUCAGCACAAUAUCAAUGUAAAGAACCAAUGUGAUAUAUUGUGGAAAGGAGAGGUGACCAAGAUCCCUGCAAGUUAUGUUGCAUUGGCAAAGAUUCUGAAGCUGGGAAAGUUUAAGGACAGGAGAAGAAGGGGAUGACAGAGGAUGAGAUGGUUGGAUAGCAUCAUCGACUCAAUGGACAUGAGUUUGAGCAAACUCUGGGAGCUAGUGAUGGACCUAGAAGCAUGGCGUGCUGCAGUUCAUGGAGUCACAAAGCACUGGACGUGACUUAAUGACUGAACAGCAACAAUUCAGCCUUUGAAUUUGAACUACAGCAACAGAUCUCUGGUUCUCCAGCCUGGAUCAUUUACCCUGAAGUUUAGACUUACCAGCCUUUAUAAUAAUGGAUCCACUUACUUCAGUCAUUCUGCUCCAGUGGAACUCUGGCCAGUGUAUGAAAAUAAAAGUUCCAGAACUGGACCCAACAGGGUGGAGCAAUGUGGGGAAGGAACCAUGGAGUGAUGAUUGGACAGAGUGCCUUAUCCCUCCAGCCCCUACUGAGGUUCUUGGGACAACAAUAAUGAACUUGUACAUGAUGGUUAGGGCUCCAGCAGCCAUCCUGUGACCUCAGGAAUGGAAGUGAGUGAAGUGAAGUCAUUCAGUCAUGUCCGACUUUUUGCGACCCCAUGGACUGUAGCUAUCAGGCUCCUCCAUCCGUGGGAUUUUCCAGGCAAGAGUGCUGGAGUGGAUUGCCAUUUCCUUCUCCAGGGGAUCCUCCCCACCCAGGAAUCGAACCCAGGUCUCCUGCAUUGCAGACGGAUGCUUUACCAUCUGAGCCACCAGGGAAGCCCCCAAGAAUGGAAACCACACAUCAAUGAACAGAAAAAUAUAAGGACUCUGGGAACUUGGUGCUUCAUAGAAUUACCAUGGCUUGGUUUGCAUUGAUUCUUAUAGAGUUUAUCUGAAAACAAGAGAAAAACAAGAUUGCAAUUUAUUUAGGCCAUCAUGAUUAUAUCUCUUACUAGCAGCUGAAUGUAUUUCUGACAGACCAAAGUUUGCUGUAACACUGCUUUAAAAUAGGGGGAAUGAUGUAAACAGUAGAAAUGGCUCUGGCUCCCACUUUCCUGAGAUUUUCUAGAUUAAAUUCCAGUCUUAGUACAUGAAAUCCUGACAUUGAACCCCCUUUUUUUCUUAAAACAACUUGAUCUUGGCCCCGCUUCAGCACAUUACUCUUAAACUGCUAGAGAAGCAAACUUGUAAUGUAAAUAUUUUUAAAUUUUUGGAAAACAGAAGACACAAAAUAAACAAGAUUCAG
ensembl:lncRNA